rnacentral:rRNA from 1 species
UUGAAAGGGAAACGAUUGAAGUCAGUCGUGCUGGCGCGAAAUCAACCUUCUCGUCUUGAGAUCACAUGGCGUGGCGAGCCUCAAAACCGUCACGAAGCGUGAACUCUCGGUGAAAUGGAGCACUUUCGUGUCCGCUGGUUAACAUCAAUUUCGAACGUCAUAAAAAGGCUGGAGGGAUGUGGCUCCUUCGGGAGUGUUAUAACCUUUAGCGGAAUGUGGUGUUCGGGAUUGAGGAUUGCAACGAAUACCUUUAGGGCUGUUCCACCUGGCUUCUCUUUGGUAUCCUGGUGACGACAGCUUGCUGACGUCGUUAGGAUUCGCCUUUGAACAGGUUAGAGUGUGAGCAAAUUCGUUAAGGAUGUUGACGUA